rnacentral:rRNA from 1 species
AGAAUCAACGCUGGCGGCGUGCCUAACACAUGCAAGUCGAACGAGAAAGUGGAGCAAUCCAUGAGUAAAGUGGCGCACGGGUGAGUAACACGUGACUAACCUACCCUUGAGUGGGGGAUAACUGAGGGAAACCUUAGCUAAUACCGCAUAAUACCUACGGGUCAAAGGAGCAAUUCGCUUAAGGAGGGGGUCGCGGCAGAUUAGCUAGUUGGCGGGGUAAUGGCCCACCAAGGCAGUGAUCUGUAUCCGGCCUGAGAGGGCGCACGGACACACUGGAACUGAAACACGGUCCAGACUCCUACGGGAGGCAGCAGUGGGGAAUUUUGCGCAAUGGGGGAAACCCUGACGCAGCAACGCCGCGUGGAGGAUGAAGUCCCUUGGGACGUAAACUCCUUUCGACCGGGACGAUAAUGACGGUACCGGAAGAAGAAGCCCCGGCUAACUUCGCGCCAGCAGCCGC